GGCCUGCGGACCAGCAGCAGGGCCAGCUCUCUACACGCGCUUGGGGCCUGGGUGGGGCCUGCCACCCGGUCCCAGGCAGCCGCUGGGUCCACACCUUGGAGGACCCGAGCUGGACCCAAAAUCUGGAUGGAGGGGUGUGGCCUGAGGGGAUAUUGCCUGGGCUCCACCCACUCCCUUCACCGUCCCCAGCUGGGCACAUGGGCUUGGCCCGCCCAGGGGGCCUUGGGUCAUGAGGGGCUCAGCCUAAGGUGGGGCUGAAAGGAGACCCUGCAACCUCCCACUCCAGCUAUGGACCCAGUGGCCCUCCCAGGCCAGCAUCAGCCUCCAAGGACCUCCGAGGGUAGGGGGUCCUCAGCGGUGCUGAGAGCGUUUGAUGGAAGAGACCCCCUUGGGUAAGGCCCCAUUGACCCUGGGCUCUUUGGGACAAACUAGACCCCCCGUUCGUUUUUACGAACGGCACGCCAGCCUCAGUGGAGAAGCAGCCCUCAUGAGGGAGGGGCUCCCACCACCGUCAGGCUGACGGACGGCCCCGUGGAGACUCCUGCACCCCAGCUUGAUGAGCAGCCCCCAUGAAACGCUCUUGGGCCCCCUCGAAGCGCCCCAAGGCCCACCUUGAUGGAGUAGGCCAGCGCCAGGAAGCCGAGGCAGCACGGGUUCAGGAUCCAUGUGGUCCCGCCUUCCAGAAUGUGCAGAAUCUCACCCCCACUGUGACCUCUGAGGCCAAGCCACCCUCACCUUCUCCUGGGUUAGCGUGGCCCCCUCCUCGGCGUUCUCACUGCUCCAGCCGGAGUGAGCCUGUUACAACAGAAAACAAGUUGUGCCCCCUGCUCCCCCCAAGGGCCCCCACCUCACGCCAGAGCCAGAGUCGCUGCAGUGGCUCAGGAGGCCCUGCAGGGUUACUCCAGGCCACGCUCCUGGACUCUGAGAGGGACACUGAAUAGGGAGGCUCUUUGUGUCAAGCCCUGAAGAAGGGAGGAAGAGGAACAGGAUGGGGGGCAGUAGAAGCUGAGCUGCAGUAAGGCCCAGCGAAGACCUGAGCUGAGCCCUCAGGAGCUCUGGAGCUUGGAGGACACCUGAGAGAUGCCCAAAGCAGGGUGGCAUUCUACUCACCCUCAGCUGCCAGCUCUGCUAGGCCCAGUGGAUUACUGUGUGUUGUGGCCCCUUCUCCGAGAGACCUAGGCCGUGGUCACCGUGACCGCGUCGGGGCAAGAGUGCUGCGUGUGGCCAUUUACCGUAACGUUGGGCAAGAGGGGACCCAGUGUUGAGCGCCCCUCCCUCCUCCUGCGGACCAGAGUCAAGUGGCCCUGCCUGUGACCCAGGCAUGAGAAACAAAGGGGCAUCCAGAGAUCUUAGAUCAACGGCACCUUUUUGUGUCACCUGAAGGAAGCUUUGGGAAACAGAACUUCUGAACCCACAGAGCCCAGAGCAGCAGGGCUGGAGAGCAUGAAGGCACCAGUGGCACAGGAAGUGACGAGAGGCAGAGCUGCCCAGUCCUGCCCUGGGGCCCUGGACCCACGUAUUCUACCCACAGCCGCACGGCACCUCAUAAUGGCCUUUGACCUGAGGGCUAACUGGAGGCAGGAGGGGUGCCCACCCUCUGCUUGGUCCAGUGGGGUGGCAAGGCGUGGGAUGUGACUGGCAGACCUGAGCCUGUGUUCCCAUCACUGGGGAUGACAUACGAUGUGGACUUCUAUGCAGGGUCAGCGCUCCGAGUUCCUGAGGGGUGCAGCUGAGGUCUGGGAGCGGUGCUGGCAACCACGCCCAGGCACAUGCUUCCCCUCUGGCGACAAGGGUCCAAUGAAAGUAACUUGCUUGCAGCUCUGCCCCUCACCCCGGUGUUCAGGCCACCCCUGAGUGGGCUGGAGUGCAGGCCCCAUCCUGCGGCCAGCCGUCUCCCUCACACUGAACUGACCAAUGGAGAACCGGGCUGGGAAUUCUUCCUUCCCCAUCAUCUGGUCCCAAGGGGAUCCCCCUGCAGCCCCAGGUGUGAGCAGAGAGACAGGCCUUGGGAAGCAGUGGUGGAUGACACAGGGUCAGGACAACCUGCUUGUUUGACCUGGAAUGUUCCACGUCCAUCCUUGAAUGCAUUGCUGCUGGACUAAACUGUCAACUGAAAGACAAACACACAAUGCAAGAACUGUGAGGUGAGUUUUAUUAACGGUGUUACUGAGGACUGUAGCCUGGGAAGCAGCCUCUUGGUACCUCUGAGAAACUGUAACAGGAAGAACAGAACUGGCACCACCUCCCCCCCCAUUCUUCGGCCCAUGUAGUCCAUCACUUUCGUCCCCACACGCCAAGAGUUAAACAGUAGAGAAAUGUUGUUUGUUCCCAAAUAGCCCAUUAAGUUCCCUGAAGAAAGUUCCCAUCCCACGGUCCUGGGUUACUUAUGGCCAUUACUUGCUGUAGAUAAGUUUGCUUUCAGCCUGGAAACCUUGCAAAUAAGCAGAGAUAAGAGUGUAAAGUAAAAAUAACUGCUAAGAACUUGAAGAUUUGCAGGAGCCUUGUGAUCCAGCCUGCGUGAGCAAGCAGAAGAACAAAGAAAUGCUAUGCUUCCCUGAAGGCCAGGUGGCUCCGAGAAGUCUGCAAUCUGCCUUCACCCUCUAAUCUCAAAUCUUCCUGCUUCCCCUUUUCCCUUCGCACAAAAGAAGACCAAAUUCUACCCCGAAUUAAGAUGGUUCUUUAGGAACCAUCUUCUUGGUUUGCUGGCCUCUGAAUAAAGUCACUAUUUCUCCC